ACAUUGGUAGUCCAGUGGUAGAAUUCUCGCCUCCCGUGCAGGAGGUCUGGGUUCCAUUCCUGGCCAAUACA
rnacentral:tRNA from 1 species